rnacentral:rRNA from 1 species
GAGCUAGUUUAAAUCGGUGGUGGCACUUUUGGAGUCAGGUAUUGUUGUUGCUCUGUCUCAAGAUUCCGGCCUGGUGGUGCUUGCCGUGGCGGUUGAGUGAUUGUUGAGUUGGUUGUGUGGUGAAUGUCUUGGUGUAUGUGGUUGUGUUUGAGUAUGUUUCUAAUUUCAUAUCUUUUUCCUUUUUCUACUUUGUUGUUUUACUAACGUAAUCUUUUUUUCUUUUCUUUCUUGCUUUACUUUGUAUUUGUUUAGUGUGGCUCGGCUUUGCGACCUUUUUGUUGUUGUUUGUUUUAUAUUCUAUAUUUGGUUUGUUAUACUAACUUUUUGGUUGCCGGACCCGGAGGGGCUUCUUGGAGCUGCUAUUUUGAUUAUGACUUGGUGUGUCAAUGAACUAGUUAGAUCCAUAGAUAGGAACACGGCUGGGUUGCUGGUCGUGUUUGUGGUUGGACGGCGGAGUCCCAUUUAGGGUCAUAAGAUCGUCCGCCCUUUUUGGUACCGCCCUAGUUCUAACCAUAAACGAUGCCAGCCAGCGAUCCGGCUGUGUUCCUCAAAUGACACGCCGGGCAGCUUCUGGGAAACCAAAGCUUUUGGGUUCCGGGGGAAGUAUGGUUGCAAAGCUGAAACUUAAAGGAAUUGACGGAAGGGCACCACCAGGAAUGGAGCCUGCGGCUUAAUUUGACUCAACACGGGAAAACUUACCCGGCCCGGACACAGGAAGGAUUGACAGAUUAAGAGCUCUUUCUUGAUUCUGUGGGUGGUGGUGCAUGGCCGUUCUUAGUUGGUGGAGCGAUUUGUCUGGUUAAUUCCGAUAACGAACGAGACUCUAGCCUACUAAAUAGACGCUCCGAUCCUUCGAGUCGGACGUUCUUCUUAGAGGGACAAGCGGCGUUUAGCCGCACGAGACAGAGCAAUAACAGGUCUGUGAUGCCCUUAGAUGUCCGGGGCCGCACGCGCGCUACAUUGAAGGAAUCAGCGUGUGCUUUCCCUGUCCGACAGGACUGGGUAACCCGUUGAACCUCCUUCGUGCUGGGGAUAGGGGCUUGUAAUUGUUCCCCUUGAACGAGGAAUUCCCAGUAAGCACGAGUCAUAAGCUCGUGUUGAUUAAGAACGAGGUAUUCCCAGUAAGCACGAGUCAUAAGCUCGUGUUGAUUACGUCCCUGCCCUUUGUACACACCGCCCGUCGCUACUACCGAUUGAAUGAUUUAGUGAGGUCUUCGGACUGGCUCUCCAAGCGGCUUUCGGGUCGCGUCGGCGUGCCGGAAAGAUGACCAAACUUGAUCAUUUAGAGGAAGUAAAAGUCGUAACAGGGUUUCCGUACGUGAACCAUCGGAAG